AGUUAAAUGAAUGUGUGGAAAGAAUGGAAAGGAAUGUCAAUGUAGUGGUGAUGGGGGAUGUGAAUGCUAGAGUUGGUGAGGAGCCAGUGGAUGGAGUAAUUGGGAACUAUGGUGUACCUGGCAGAAAUGAAAAUGGAGAGAAAAUGCUGGAAGUGUGCAUGGAGAGGGAAUUGGCAGUGAUGAAUACAUGGUUUAAGAAGAAGGACAUGCAUAAGUAUACAUGGGUCUGAGUAGAUGGAGGCAGAGUGGUAGAUAGAGCGCUGAUGGAUUACAUGGUUGUAAGCAAGAAGAUGAGUGGAAGGGUGUUAGAUGUAAAUGUGUUGAGGGGAAAGAAUGGUGGAAUGUCUGACCAUUAUAUGGUGGAAGGAAAGCUGAGAGUGGGUGAGAGAUGGAGAAGACGAAAAGUGCAAGAAGGUAGAGAAGUGUUGAAAGUGAGUAAACUAAUGAGAAAGAGAAAGAAAGAGAGUAUCAGGAGAAAGUCAGGUUGAUGUGGAAUACAGUAAGUGAGAAAGAGGAGGAUGGGGUGGAAGAAGAGUGGCUGAUAUUUAGGGAAGGAGUUUUAAAGUGCGCAAAAGAGGUGUGUGGGAUGAGGCGUAUGGGGGAAGCAGGAGGAAAGGGAGUGAGUGGUGGGAUGAGGAGAUGAGAAUGGCAGUGGGGGAGAAGAGAGAGCAUAUGAAGAAUGGCUGCAAAGAGGAAGCUGAGGCAUAUGAGAGGUAUAAAAGGAAGAGAGUGGAAGUGAAAUGCAGUGAGAAGUGCGAAAAGGAGAGCGGAUGAGCGGUGGGGCAGAAGUUUAUCUGAGGAUUUUGAAAGGAAUAAGAUGAUGUUUUGGAAGGAGGUGAAAAAGGUGCGAGGGGGCAAAUCUGGUAGAGGAAAAAGUGAAAGGAGCAGAUGGGAGGCUGCUGGUAGAUGAGAGUGAGGUGAGAAGAAGAUGGGCUGAAUAUUUUAAAGAAUUGUUGAAUGUGGAAGAUGAGAGAGAGGCAGUGAUAGUGGCUGUGGGGGAUGCUAGGAGAGUAACUGUGAUGGGUGAGGAGAAUGAAAGGAGCAUCACAAGAGAGGAGGUGCAAGUGGCGUUGGGGAAAAUGAAAGCGGGAAAAGCCCCAGGGUUGGAAGGGUGUCAUGGAGAAUGUCUGAAAAAAGGUGGAAUCAGGAUUGUGGAGUGGUUGGUGAGGCUGUUCAACAUGUGUUUCAGAGAGGAGGCCGUCCCCUUGGAGUGGAAGAGUGCAUGUGUAGUGCCACUGUAUAAAGGGAAAAGCUGAGAACCCCCUCUGCUUGGAGCCCACUGACCUGAAGGCCACUGGCAGAUGGCACAGUGGUCAUUCCUGGAUGGACACAGGCAUUGAAUCCUCAAGAAAGUACAGGCACUACUACCAAAAUCCAUAGUAAUAAAAUGUAUUAUACAUAAUAAAAAGACCAAAGUACCCCAA